rnacentral:rRNA from 1 species
AGACUGCCGGUAAAAGCCGGAGGAAGGUGAGGAUGAUGUCAAGUCAGCAUGACCUUUAUAUCCAGGGCUACACACACGGCUACAAUGGUCUGUACAAUGGGUAGCCAAGCCGCGAGGCGGAGCCGAAUCCUGAAAGCAGGACCUCAGUUCAGAUUGCAGUCUGCAACUCGACUGCAUGAAGCCGGAGUUGCUAGUAACCGCAGGUCAGCAAUACUGCGGUGAAUACGUUCCCGGGUCCUU